GAAAACGGUGCUUUGAAUCACAGCUGAAGUUGGAAUUCACUUCUUAUAUUUUCAUCUCAUUCACAUGUUUCCCCGAACAACCUUGGAUGUGCAGUCACCUCCUUUCUGAAACAGCAGAACAUCUGGAAGGGAAGAGAAAAACUCCUUUGGAGUACAGGAGCAUUUCAAAUAAUCAAAAGGCUCUGUCACUCCCACCUUCCGCCUUAAAAUGAUUGGUCCAUUUUCCUUCAGGUAAAGAACCUCUGAGUUAUUCUGAAAAGCAGAUUCCAGGGAUUACCAAUGCUGCAAGUGUUACAGGGAGACCCCAUUUCCUUUGGGGACAGGAGCCUUUAAGCACCUUCAGGAAUUCAUUGCAACGAGCAAGUUCAAGCACAGGCCACAGUCAGGCCAUGUGAAAGUCGAGAGUGUCUGGUUCUCUAAGGUUCACAUCACGUCCAUUUUCCUUUCCAAUAGAAGAAUAAAGAAAAGAGAAAGUGAUGACCAGAGCACACAAUGACACCAAUGUAGCAGUAGGUGAUAGGGAAAUGAAGAGAAGCAGCUCAGAGCUCAUUAAUAUCUAAUUGAUGAUUCUUUAGGAAGCAGCAGCCGUGCCUGUGAAUUGGCUCAGGCUGAACUUUGUAGGUGGCAAAGGGUUAGAGAUGAUGAGAGAGGAUAUGGAAUUCCCAGGAAAGGAGAGACUGCAGUGCUGUAUCUCUGGGAUCAGCAAGGAUGGUUGCAAAUUUCUAAGCACAAAUACUGGGAAGAAUCCUCAUCUCCCAGUGCGUGUCUGUCCAUCUUUACUUGGCUCUGAAGCUAAGAAUGCACAAUCUUCGAAGAAGCCCGUAGAAUUUCAAGCUUUCACCUGAGAAAUCUAUCAUAACCUCAGGACCCUCCACUACUUAGAAACUCCCUUCUAAACCACAGAGCAGUGCAACACCUGCAUAAAAAUUAUCACUAUCGGCAGUACUGUUCAGGUUAUUCCAGACAGAUAUCAGAAAAAAACCCGUUUCAGAAAAACCAAAAUAACCACUAUGGGAUCACUCUGCCGUUGAUAUGGAAGAGAAGGUGGCACUGAGGGACCUGGGAGAGAGGCAUUUGUCCGAGGCAGAUGAAGAAGGGCAGGGCAGAAGGGGCACAGACACACGAGUCCCCUGUUCCCAGAGGAAAUUGCAAUGAGCCCAGACAGCUGAGAAAGCUCCGUGGGGAAGAAGCCGCUGGGCUCGCCAAUGGGCAGCACGGGGUGUGCAGCAGAGCUGGCGAUUGCAGCUGCGGAGGUGAGGAGUGCAGUGCGAGCUGAGCGGGAAGAGCCCCUUGCCAUGGCUGAGGCCGCAGAGGCACGGAAUGCUCCGAAUGCCAGUGGCUGAGGGAGCCACGGCGGCUGCUGCUGGACGAGCGAGAAACGCAGCAGGAGCAUUUCAGGCACGGCAAGGACAGGCCAUUGCUCUGCCUGCUGCCGCUGCUGCUCCCGCUGCUCCCGCACACAGUCGUUUCCGGCACCUCUGUUCUCUCGCCGCUGCGACGUGCUUUCUGCCUCUUCCUCACUCAGCAAACACGCAGCUUGCUCUCGCCAUGCACCUCGCACAUCUCAUCCUCACCGUCUUCCUGGCACAGCUCCUCGGCACCACGGGGCAGAUCACGGUCACCCAGGAAGAUGCACAAGUCACGGUGAAGCAGGGACAGCCCUUCCACACCACCUGCAAAUACCAGAUCAGUUAUGCUAGUACUGCCUUGCUCUGGUACCAGGUUCGGAAAGGCCAAGCCCCCCAGCUGGUCUCCCAUCAAUCAGGGACUGGCCCCAGGCACAGCGGCCGGAUCACCACGCACCUGAACACCACGGGCAAAUACAGUGUCCUGAAGGUGGAGGAAGUGCAGGUGUCUGACAGUGCCUUGUACCUGUGUGCUGUGCAAGACACCCUGGUGCAGGGAGCUUGCUCGGCUGUGUAACAACCCAGGGGAGGGAGGGGAUGUGUCAGUGUAAGGCUUCAGGUUGGGGAUGGG